rnacentral:snRNA from 1 species
AGGAUGAGGGGGCCAUCUGGCUGCAGCAUCAGUCCUCCCACUGAUCUCCGGGAGUGAUUUCCCUGUUCUAGCUGGCUAGCCGGGGUUCCCUGCCUCCCUCAUCGCUCUAUGUGCAUCCCGCCUGAAUCUGUGUGCUUGGACAAAGAGACAAGAGGAUCGCUUCCUCAGUCAAGGGCAUAGAACCAGCUCUGCUCCCCUGCUACAAACUUCAAACAAGCUCUCAAGGAUAUAGUUUCCAGUUUAGUAAUUGUACGGAGCAUAGUUUUCAAAUGGAUUACUGAAAACUACUUCUUCUGUAAUGAUUU